CACAGCGUCGGGCUCCGAGUUCAGCGCCAGAGGGCUCCCAUUGGCUGCGCCGCCCCACGUGACCCGGGCCAGGCACGAGACGCAGCCGGGCACGCGCCGCCGCGAACGUUAGGGGAGUUGGGCGGCGGUUAGGUGGGGAGCUUAGCGGGGGAGGGAGGGAGGACCACAACAACGUCACAUCACAUCACAUCACGUCCCUCUUCCCUUCCCCGUGCGCUGCCUCGACUCCCGCCGCUUCCCCCGCGGGAGAAACGCGCAGGGACUGAGGGGACUAGCUGCUCGUGCAACCCCGGGAGAGGGCGGGGCGCGGCUGGCGAGGCGCAUGCGCGGAGCGGCAGCUCUGUUCUUGGCCGCUGCGACUGGAACAUUCUGGAAAUGGCGGCGGCGGCGGAGACGAGGCUGCGGGAGUCCCGGAGAGGGAAAGAGGGGGCGGAAGUGGAGCACUUCGGCUCCUACCUCCCUCCUCCCCCUCAGAAACGGGAACGGAGUAGCCGAGGCGUCCCAGGGAGCCGCUCGUCCGCGCCGCCCCCUCCCCGGGGAGGGGUUUUUCCUGCGGCGAUGGCGCAGGGAGUUUUAACAACUGGCGCAGUGCGCAUGCGCAGGUGGCCACGCUGCAGCCUAUUGCCGGUGGGGGCAGGCGGCGGGGGCGCCCUGGGGCGUGGAGGUGUAUCAUGACCCUCGGCGCGGCCGGGUCUUAAAUACGAAAUGAUCCUAUUUCCUGGAAAACUACUGUACACCGAAAAAAAAGGUGCAGCUGCCAACUUCCUCUAGAGCUCAACCAAUCCAGUACCUUAACAGUACCGCUGAUUUGGCAUCAACCUUGAAAACCUCUGUUACCCUGAAAACCUCUUACCUGCUGCAUAAAGUACUAUUACCGGUUUGGACAAAUGUGUCUAGAUUGGCAUGCACAUUAUCUGAUGCCUCGUGCUGAAUUAAAAAUGCUAAACAACUGAUGGGGCAAUUACAAACAGUAUAAUAAAAAGGCCAACAAUAAAAAUGUUAUUGUAAGAAAUUACAUACUGGACACUACAUAACCAAGCACAUGCUACAUUUUAUCUAUAUUGGCACACCAAGGAGUCAGGGAACCUAAUUAGCAUUCUGUUCAGAUCUCAGUAGAAUCUUAUUUUCAUUCAGUCUUACUAUUCCCUAUACAACAAUUAAGUUCUGGAUGGCUAUGGAUACUUUACAAACACACACACACACACGCGCGUGCGUUCUGGAUGGAUGGAUAUUAGUAGUGGCUGCAGCGCAAGUCAUGAGGAUCAGGGGAAUGCACUUCCCAUAUCAGCAGUUGUUUGACUUGACUUUUGCUACUAGAAAUCUAGUGGCAACUUCAACUAAUCUUCCCUCAGACCCUUGAGAGUUACAUUGCAGGGGUGGGGGGAGGCAACAAAGCAGUCAGUGCCUCCAUAGUACAGUUUUCUCAGCCAUCCCCCUUGUCUGGAAAUUAAUUUUUUUCUUGGACCCCACAAAAAUGUUUUCAAAGGGGCCAUAUGCCCUGUAAUAGGUAAUACUAAUUACUCUAGUUAAAAUGUUCCUUCCCCAUAUACCUCACAUGGGUGAAUUCUAAAUCUGGUUGAAGGAGAGACCCUUGCAAAAAGGUAUUGGAAUCUGAAACUGAACUGAAAUUGUUACUUCUGGUAUUUUCCUUGCUAUUUCAAGAAAUGUCUGCCUAUUGCAACAGUCAUUACUUGUUUUGCAUUUAACACAUCUCCUCCACUGUGGUUGUCCAAUGAUAACCAGCAGCUGAUAUGGAAUCUUUUAACCACUCUAUAUACUCCUUCAUCAGAAUGAAUAUAAACACUAAUAAGGUAUAGGAUUCAUAAAGCUAUCACUAAUACACAUUACAGAUAUCCUAGUGAGGGUAAGGAAAUGAAACAGCAAGGAAAACUUAAUUUCUGGGCACAUAACAAAACUUAGAUCUCAUGUUAAGGUCUGUGAACAAAGUAAGACAUAGGUGUGAGAGACUAGACUAAUUCAAGCAACAAAAUAGGGGAAAUGUUGGCUACUAUUUCUGGAAUCAGGAAAAGAGAACAAUGAGAGACCAGUAGUCCCAAAAGGAAUUCUAGUAUUAGAAAAGCCUGCAUCUGUCUGUCUGUCCGUAAUGCUUUAGUCAUGCUCUGAUUGGCUGACAAAUAGCCAAUCAGAGCAUGAAGAAGCAUUCUGACAGAAGGCAGCGUGCUGCCAUGAUGGUGGGGACACGGUAUGAAGUGCAAACUACAGGUCAUACCAAUAUAUGCAACAGAUUCCAGGGCAAAAUUGUUAGCCUUUGCAGGAACUACUAAAGUCACCUCCUUCUACAUAUAGGUUAUGUAUGCAAAUAUGGUUGCAUUUAAUCACCAAGUUGUUACAAGUGAACAAUUUAACCCUUUUUGUUUUCACUUGCAUGCUGAAAACUGGAAAUGAAACAGUAUUAAAAAUUAACUCACUAUAGUGUAUCUGGUGAUUGUAUUUCAUUUGUAUUUAAUUCAGUAAAGCCUGUGUAUUUUCCUUUAAGUAAGGCAGCUACAGAAUCUCCAAUGAUUUUUCUCCUAUCUUAAGUCUGCUGCAAAGCACACAUGUGGCAGCCCUUUCAGCGGACACACUUAAAGAGAGUUAAUUGAGAGAAAAGAGAAGACACAGAAUGGGCACACAGGUCCAAAUGUACCUCCUGAACAUAAAAUAUAUUUAAAUUGCUUAUAUCCUUUGAUUAUAAUGUGCACUUUUCGUAUACCUUCUUAUACAUUCUUUAUUGCAAAACAACAUAAUGCCUGCCCACUAUGCAAUCCCUGACCACACAUCCAGCUAACUAACUAGCCGAGAUAUCCAACUUAUUAGGGUAUUUGCUGCAUUGUUCCAGUGGACUAUUCCACAUAUUUGGGCACAGUUAUUCUAGCUGAUCAAAGGAAUACAGAAAAAUCUUCCACAUUUUAAAGUUAUACUCGCUAUUCUCUCUCUCAGGACCUGAAAACAAAUGUCUGGCCAUUCUGCUGUCAUGGUUUGGACCAUAACCCCCCCCCCCCCCCCAAAACACCUCAGUACUUAGAAUCUGAGUAUUGUAUGGAACCAGAAGGAAAGGAAGCUAGAAAAUGCACUUAUGACCACCACCGAAAAACUAUAAUUAACUGUUUUUCCAUUUGCUAGUUACCUUGGAUGUUUUUGCCACUCACUUUCCAAAACUGCCAUGUUGGUCUUUUUUGAAAAAGUCUUGGAUACAGCCCCAACAACUAAAGACUUACAGAUUUUUUGUCUUUUCUCAUAGCGGGCUUGACUCCUUAAUAAGCGUGUGAUACCUCCCAGAAGCAACUGUUUUCAGAGAUCAUCAUCAUGAGCUUUAGAAUAAGGGCUCAUAAGAUACAGCAUUGCAGUUGCUCUAGUAGAGUUCAAAUGGAGAACUCAAGCUUAAGCAUCACACAAAACUGGAUUGCUAGUGUGGCACACUGGACCACUGGCACUUCACCAGUUAUGGACCACUUACCACUAAUUUGGCUUUUCGAUGUAGAAAAAUCCUGAAACAAGUCACUUUACUCAAAUUGCUUUUUUAUAAAAAAAAAGUGCUUGCUUUUUAAGGGCUAAUAUUUGAAAGUAUUUGAAGAUUAUUAUUAAAGUAGUACUAGAUAACUGCAAGUUACAAAGUUACAACUUGCACAGCUACUACAAGAACACAUCAUACAGAUAACACUGAAAAUACUACCACUGCAAAGGUUCUUUAUGGCAGCAUUCAUGGAAACUAAAAGGUGAUGAGGUUUAUUUUUUUAAAGUAUAAAAAUUUAUAUUUGAAAAGGGAAAAAUAUACUACUAUAGCACCAUAUACAAUUUAUUUCAAGCAAUAUAAGUUAUGACAUGCCACUUGACUUUGUGAGUGUUGUGGUCAGAACAUAUGCUGUGGACCUUGUCAUAACAGCAGUUGCACAAAGAACAUCAGGAAAUGCAGUAUAUGUUGAGGUCACUAACUUGCCUUUACACGUUUUCAGGAGGCAUACACUAUGUUUGGGACUGCUGCAGGGAAUGAAUAGCUUGCUAAAUUUCUGAAGCCAAGAAAAUAGACAUUUUUCAACAUUUAAUUAGGGUUUUAUAUGGGAUAGGGAAAUAAUUUUAGUAUAAUUGUGUGCUAUGAUAGUUAACUAUUUUUGUUUCACUGGUUUUUGCACUUACGUAGAAAGCUGGAGACUACCAUAUAGAUGAUUGAUUUCAGAAAAGGUAUGCUAUUUGUCAUAACUUUCUCCUCAAUUGGAAAUAUGGUAUAGGGAGUAAUUUUAAAUCUUUUAGUAGGAAGACCACAUUCGUACUGAAACUAUUCCAUAGGCCAUCUUUCUUUCCUGUUCAUGAUCGUGGAAAACAGUUCUUCUACCAAAUGCAUACACCAUCAUAACAGGUUACACUAAUAUUUUAUGAAGAAAUAAACUGCAUAGUGUUAUUCUGUUGACUAAAAUACCAAAAAACCAUCUGACAGCUAGAUAGAUAAAAAAAGCCCAGGUCAAAAAGAAAAAGAUGCUAUUACCAGUCUCCUGCUCAUUAACAGUGACAGCAAACACAAAACAAUGAGAUCAGAGAUGAAUCACAAGAUUAAUAAGAAAACAAAAGUAAAAGGGCCAACUUGACUAUCUAGCCAACUACUCACCCAGGUCCAAAAGAGUUACAGGACCAGGACUUUCAGAUGGUCUCAAAUUGAAAAUGUAAGCCAUGUUAUGAACACUAUUAAAGAUUCACACUUCAAUUAAUAUUUGUCUUAAUUUUGAAUGCAGUUGUCAACAUGGACUCCAAGAACAGUUAUAUUCAUAAUUUUAAAGGUUUGUAGCACACUUUGUUCUUAAAUAAUAGCUUCUCCAAAAGGUCUGUGUCAAUUUCCAGUCUGUUUUACAGCACUUAAAAGCCUCAGGCCUUGGCUUGUCUGGCAGCGCUGCUCACCCAUGUCUGCCAACUCCUAAACUGAACACUGGGCAGGCAGACACGGGUGGUCAGAACCCUUCACCUGGGCCUAGCCACACACCCACUCCCUUCCAUGGACCAAAGGACUGACAUUUCAUAUAGCAAAAUUAAGAUGCAUUAUAAAAAUAUCUUGCACACCAUCCUCUAACUGCACACUUUGACUGUGGUCGAUAAUAAAUUUGGACAGAAGGUGUUUUUUUUAUGCAUUAUUACUUAAUAUAUCAUUGGAGACCAGCUGUUCUAUGUGUGCAUUCCACUUAUAUUUUCCUGUACCUUUAAAAGGCCAUCUCUGGUUCUUCAUAACAUGGCAUUAUUGAGAAUUAAACGUGUCUUUACUUAAUCCAACAAAUGUUUAAAAAGCGGUUUAAAUAAAAAGAAUGAUAUGUCCAUAAAGCAUUUCUACUAUAGUAACACAUAAUAAAGGGAAGUUACGUAUGGGGAAAAAAUUGUUUCCAGUGUAUCUGAGUGUGUGCCAGCACUAGGUAUGCAGCUAAUUAGUCAGCUUCUCCCUCACUGAAAGAACCUUUAUAAAUAAAAGAUCAGGGAAACUCACAAAAGUACUUUGACAGGAAUUGUUACAUAUUAUGAUGCUUUAUCAUAAACUACUUCUUCCCUUCCACCAAACUGGUUACUUAGGGUUUGCCCUACUGCAGUGGGUUAGAAAUCUGAAGAUGGUGAUUUUAGCAUUUUGUAUUGUUAACUGUAUUUUACUGCUGUUGCUAUCCUACCUUUUAAAAAAGGUUCAAACAUAUCAUAAUGGUCGUUUAAUGAGUGGAAAGUAGUUUUAUUAUUCUAAUACAAUUUGUGAUUUUAUAAUUUAUUA